AUUCAAAUAUCUUAUAAAUAGAGAGUAUAACAUUGAAGCUGUUAUUGAGAUAAUUAUUAUCUUUGAAUA
rnacentral:tRNA from 1 species